AUUGAACGCUGGCGGCAGGCUUAACACAUGCAAGUCGAGCGAGCGGCGGACGAGUGAGAAAUGUCUGGGAAUGUGCCUGAGGGAGGGGGAUAACUACUGGAAACGGAAGCUAAUUCCGCAUACCAUCAGAUGUGCCCAGAUGGGAUUAGCGAGUAGGUGGGGUAAUGGCACACCUAGGCGACGAUCCGUAGCUGGUCUGAGAGGAUGACCAGCCACACUGGAACUGAGACACGGUCCAGACUCCUACGGGAGGCAGCAGUGGGGAAUAUUGGACAAUGGGCGAAAGCCUGAUGCAGCCAUGCAGCGGGUGUGAAGAAGGCCUUCGGAUUGUAAAGCACUUUCAGCGGGGAGGCGUUACUAGCAGAAGAAGCACCGGCUAACUCCGUGCCAGCAGCCGCGGUAAUUC
rnacentral:rRNA from 1 species